GGGGAGGCCAGACCACGGCUGGACGCCUGGAUGUUUCCACAGACCCAACUCUGGAGCAGUCCAGGGGAGGCUGGAGGCUGAGCCCGGCAGGAUCCCGCAUCUCUGUGAUGCAGUGGCAGCAGAGGGCGACAGGAUAAGGACCAAGAUGCUGGCUUCAUCUUCCUUAUGGCCCUAAACUACCAUCUGAAAGUGCACAGAAAGUAUAAAUGGAUUUCACUGAGAGAAGAACCCCCAGAUACUGAAAAUAUACACAGUUGAUGCAGAGCUUCUUUAACUAUUGGUCUGGAACCCAACCUACAGUAUCUUUGAGCUGUGCCUGUAUAAGCAACACAGAGCCAGGAAAGAAGGUGCAAACCAUGAACUGGAAGUGAGGCAGUAAGUCAGGGGCCAGAGGAGCAAGUAGACCAGUCAAUGCAGAUAAACGGGUGCAUGGAAAGGAAAAGGCCAGCCUCCCGCGGAGGCAUGCUGCAAGACUUCCAAGGGGAAGAGCAGAGAAAGGAGGAAACCUGCCCAACUCAUUUUAGGAACUAAUGAAACCUUGAGUCUGAAACCAGUAUGGAUAGCACAGGAAAAAUGUACAGAUCUAUUUAACCUAUGAACAUAUAGGGGAAAAUCCUAUAUAAAUUACUUUCUAAGUGAAUCUAAUUUUGUGUUAAAAAACACAACCCUACUGCAGUUUAUCCCAGGAAUGCAAGAAUGGUUUACUAUCAAAAAACCUAUCUUAAAAGAGAAAACAGAAGAAAAGGGAAGAAAAGAAAACCUAUGAAUGCAAAAGGUAUUUCAUGAAGUUUAGUAUUUAGUUAUGCUCAAAUAAUAAUAGUUUCAGUAGUCAGGAAGAGAAAGGAACUCUUUUAAUCUGAUAGACUUUAUACCAAAAAAUUAAGGUCAACAUGGUAGUGGAUGAAGAAACCUCACAAGCUAUCAGUUCCUUUAAGGUCUUGAACAAAAUAAAGUUAUUAUGAUCUCUGAUUCUAUUUAACCUGUUAUUGGAUGGCCUCAACAAUAAAAAUUUCUAAAUAGAAGACAAAAAGAGAAAAGAUUGUAAGAUGUGGUGAUUUAAAUAUGUCCAUAAAUUCUAACAGUAUUUUCUAAAAGUGGAACCUAAUUUCUCUCCCCUUGAUCUUGGGCUGGACUUAGUGAAUUGCUUCUAACAAAUAGAAUAAAAUGAAGUAAUGCUGUGUGAUUUUCAAUACCAGACCAGAUUCCUCGAUCACUGACCUCAGAUAUUGUAUGAUACUAAAUAUCUGUUGUCUUUAACUGCUACGUUGGGACAAUUUGUUUGCUGCAAUUGAUGACCGAUACAAACAAGCAUUGGAAUACAAUAUAUUAAAUCAUCCUUCUUUGCUGACAACAGAAUCAUCUAUGUAGAAAAUCCAACAAAGUAUUAAAAUUAGUGAGAGGUUAGCAAACUUGCCUUAACACAAAAUCACAUGGAUUAACACAAAAAUCCAUAGCGUUCUCUUCCAGCAACACCCAAAUAAAGUAUCAUUCACAAUAGUGGCAAAACUGUAGUGCGUCUGGGAGUCAACUUUACAGUGAAUGUACAAGACAUUGUUAUGGAAAAAUAUUAACAUUCUAUUAAAAGACAUAAGAAGAUUGAAUAAAUGGAAAUAUAUACUACA